AUUGAACGCUGGCGGCAGGCCUAACACAUGCAAGUCGAGCGGAUGAAGGGAGCUUGCUCCUGGAUUCAGCGGCGGACGGGUGAGUAAUGCCUAGGAAUCUGCCUGGUAGUGGGGGAUAACGUCCGGAAACGGGCGCUAAUACCGCAUACGUCCUGAGGGAGAAAGUGGGGGAUCUUCGGACCUCACGCUAUCAGAUGAGCCUAGGUCGGAUUAGCUAGUUGGUGGGGUAAAGGCCUACCAGGGCGACGAUCCGUAACUGGUCUGAGAGGAUGAUCAGUCACACUGGAACUGAGACACGGUCCAGACUCCUACGGGAGGCAGCAGUGGGGAAUAUUGGACAAUGGGCGAAAGCCUGAUCCAGCCAUGCCGCGUGCGUGAAGAAGGUCUUCGGAUUGUAAAGCACUUUAAGUUGGGAGGAAGGGCAGUAAGUUAAUACCUUGCUGUUUUGACGUUACCAACAGAAUAAGCACCGGCUAACUUCGUG
rnacentral:rRNA from 1 species